UGCCCCUGAGCUAAAGCCAAAUGUCAGAUUUCUGCCAUUAUUGUAGGUGACUAGCUCUGAAGGGCAGGGACACUUCUCAGAGGAGCCCAAGAUAGAAGGAGAGGAGUGGUGCUAUGCAGCAUUCUCUUGGUUCCUUCUCCCUUCGGGAGAAUAAGGAACCCUUCACUGCAGAAUACUCUUAAAAUCUGAGGGCAAAGCAAGCUGGAGGCUGCUGAAAACAUUUUGAAAGCAGGACUGGAACUUAAAAUGAUCUUGAGAAGCAAUCUGACAUGCACAAGAUAACAUUCAGCAAAGGCAAGUGCAAAGUGCCACACAGAAGCCAGAUACAAAAUGGGGAAUAGCUGGCUUUUCUACAGAAAAGGCAGGCAGCUGAAAUGCACUGGGAACUGAACAGCAGCCAGGUACCAGUGCUGUGGCAAGGAAGACAUGAUCAUUCAGGGGUGUAGUUACAGGAACAUCACAUGUGAGAUCAAUGGUUCUCCAAGUCCACUGAAGGUGGGGCAAGAAGUACUUGAUUAACCCUCAUGCUGCAAACUACUGGGUGAGAUAUUAGGAAAAAACUUACAAACUUUAAAAAUCCCUGGGCACCAGAACAGUUUAGCGAAGGAGAAAGUUUUAAAGAAGAGAUUAGACUGCAAAUGCUAUAAAGCCAAGCUGCAAAGCCAAACCCUCAGAGGUUAGAAAGUGACCAAAUUAAUCACUUGUCCAACCUUAAUUUGGCCCUCUUGUGCAUGUGUAUCAUGACAGAUUAAUUAAUUACAUGUUCUUAUAGUGUUUUCUAUCCAGGCUUCUAGCCUUACCCAAUGCACAGGAUGGACAGCGCUCUCAUAAUAAGCAAGUAUUCAGCAUUUUGUUUUCUCCCCAUAACUCAGUAUGUGACUUUAGACCUUCUUUACUGCACACUGUUCAAACUCUGCUCUAAAGACAAAAUUAUUAAUUUCCUCACAGGUUUUCCUCAGUCAAUCUGCACUAUGGUCUCCAAUUGCCUCACAAACAUUAAUGAACUUGCCUUGGCAAUGCCCCUGUGUGGUGACGGAGUGGCAGUAUUGUCACUAUUUCACAGGAACAGAAGCUGGACUAGAAGCCAGUUAUCUGAGAGACAUCAAUUACCUUUCUUUUGAGAUCUUCUGUUCUCUUCCCACAAUCCCCUGCCUCAUUCAAUGGACACCUGACUUCUGCAGCCAAUGAAGCAAGACCCCUACAGACAACAUCUACCCCCCACAGAAAGUCCAUCAUGUGCACUGAAGAGUCUGAGGUCUUGUAGCCAAGAUGGGCAGUGAUCAUACAAGGAAAGGCUAUAUUGUUAUGCAUACACCCAGGAGAAUGGAUUUCAGGUUUCACAAACAAGCUUAGUUCUGCCAAUUCUCAGCUAUGGAGUUUUUCAGCUACAACCCAAAUCAGUUGAACAAUGUCUUACAUCCAGUUUUCUAGGUUUUAUUAUCAUCAGUAACAACAAUAACAACAACAAUAACCAUAACAAUAAUAAAAGCAAUCAGAAAAA